rnacentral:lncRNA from 1 species
UUGGAUAAGGUAUUGGACUAAUCUUUUCUCUUACGAAUAUUCAACUUUUUAAUAGUGUUCUCUAUUUAACAAAUAGCUACACAUUAAAGCAUAUUGGUGAUUUACAAAUUGUGUACUGCAUUGGCUGACGAAACUAGGUUCAUGGAUCUUGCAGUUCAUAGUUAAAAUAUAGCUACAUAUUAAAGCAUGUUAGUGAUUUACAAAUUGUGUACUACAUUGGCUGACGAAACUAGGUGCAUGGAUCUUGCAGUACAUAGUAAAAAGGGAUAUCUUCAUAUAGUAUACAUUCUUCAUCUUGAUCAGGUAUAAAAGUUUUGUAUGUUAUGUUUGUUAAUAAUAAUUUUGUUAUAGCUCUCAACUCCUGUGAAUAAUCUUGACUUUUGGACUUGUCUUUUUAUUUCAUUAUUUCAACUUAGCUCCUGAUUUUUUCCUUGAUUGUCAAUUUCCUCAUUGAGCAUUGAACUGAGUUGAAAAAGAUUGAUUUUCUCAAUCUUCAAAAUAUCAAGUUAGUUUUCAUUUUUAUAAGAUACAACGAAUGCGUUAAACAAAAAUCCAAGCACAAACUCUUGAACAUUGGUCAUAUUUCAGUGACUCGAAAGAGUCCACUAUGUUGGACGUUGUUGAAUGUCAAAAUUUGAAAAAGAAAUAUUUUUCAAAAUAAGUUGAUUUUAGAAAUUUGAUCAAACAAGUUAUUAAUGUGUAGAUGUUGUCUGAUGGGAUUGUGGUGUGAAAUUUACCUAAAUUUUUUUCUAAAUAAGUGAUCUUUUACUAAAUUUAUUUGUUGUGUUGUGAGUAUUCACUUUGAUUUUACAAUAUCAUGUUUUGUGUACUUUCUUAUUAUAGUAUUCAGGGUAAUGGUGAGAUUGACGAGGAUGUCACGCAUUGUAUUAGAGCAGGAUGGUUGAAAUGGAGGCUCGCUUCGGGAGUUUUAUGAGAUAAGAAGGUACCCCUGAAGCUUAAAGGUAAGUUCUACAGAGUGGCAAUCCGAUCGGCUUUGUUGUAUGAAGCGAAGUGUUGACCAGUUAAGAACUCUCACAUCUAAAACUUGAAGGUGGUGGAGAUAAGGAUGCUAUGAAGGAUGUGUGUACAUAUUAGGAAAGAUAAGGUGAGGAAUGAAAUUAUUUGAGAGAAGGUGAGAGUGGCUUCGGUGUAGGACAAGAUGCGAGAAGUGGGGUUACGUUGGUUUGAGCAUGUGAUGAGGAGGGGCUCUAAUGAUCUAGUGCGGAGGUAUGAGACAUUGACUAUGGAUGGUUUUAGGCGGGUUAGAGGUAGGCUGAAGAAAUAUUGGAGGGAUGUGAUUAAGCAUGAUUUGGAACAGUUAUAGCUUACAGAGGACAUGACUCUUGAUAGAAAGGUGUGGAGGACACGAUUAGGAUAUAUGGUUAGGGGGCGAGAGUGCAUCGGUAACAGUAAGGGAACGUUCUUUAUUUUUGUUUGAUGUUUCUUGUUCGUGGUGUUAAGUGUUGUCUAUGGCUUAGGAUAAACAGCUUUUAGUAUUAUCUUGUGGUUAGCAGUGUUAGUUUAUUUUUACAUACUGUACAAUUUUAUAUGCAUAUUUAUUUUAUGUUUAUUAUACUGUUGUCGGUCCUAAGCCGAGGGUAUAUCGGAAACAGCCUCUCUAUUUCACCUAAGGUAGUGGUAUAGUCUGCGUACACUCUACCCUCCCCGAACCCUACUAUCUAGGAAUACACGGGGUACGUUGUUGUUGUUGUUGUUGUAGGUUUUCUUGGUGUAGUUUUGAAAGCAAAUGUGUUGAAUAUAGUCUGAUAAGAUAUCGGUGUGAAGUUGACCUAAAUUUUCUCUUUAAAUUGUGAUUUUCAUUAAAUUUACCAGUUGUGUUGUUGUGUGUAUUCUCUUUGUCCAGAUGGAUCAUCCAGCAUCAGUUUGGUUCAGAUGGACUAUUGAUAAUUUUUCUAGGCUGAAUGUGAACAAAUUGAACUCUAAUGCCUUUAAUAUAGGAGAAUAUAAAUGGUAAUUAUUUUCAGCAUCACAUAUUUUGGUGGAUUACUACAAAUUUAAUGUGGAUAUGACUAUUAUGUGCAUUGUGUUUGGAGGAGGUUACUGAUAUACCCAAAAGGGAACAAUGCAGACCAUUCAUUAAUGUGUUUACUUGUGGAAAUGUUGCAGCGUUGCCUUACGGUUGAGUAGAUAUGCUUUAUUUAGCUUAGCUGUUCUCGAUCAAGUUCAUAGAACAUUCACAGUGAAAAAAGGUCAGACAUCUCAUUUGUCGUAUGAAUGAUAUGAAUUUUGUGCAUGAGUUGUAGAUGAGGGAAAAUUUAUAGGUUAUCUAGCGGCUGCAUAUCAUAUUUGGUAAAUAAGAUAUGAAAUUUGCUUGAGUGAUGCAGAUUGUGGAAAAUCCAUAGGUUAUCCAACAGCUACAUACUUCAAGUCAUCUAAAUAAAUCUUUGUUGUGUUACAUUUUUUGAUUUACCUCAUAAUUUAGGGGUCAGUUUGGUACACCGAACAAGGAAAAUAGGCCCGAGUCCCGAGUGCUGUAGAUUGUGGAUAAUAUAUAGGUUAUUGAACAGCUACAUACUUCAAGCCGUUUGAAUAAGCCUUUGUUGUGUUACAUUUUAUGAUUUUUCUCAUAGUUUAGGGGUCAAUUUGGUACACUAGAUUAAAAAAAUUGUCUCGGGAUAAAGUUUGAGAUUUAGCCGUCUGAAUAAAGUUUUGUUGUGUUACAGUUUUUGAUUUCCUCAUAGUUUAGGGGUCAUUUGGUACAUCGGAUAAGAAAAAUAAUUCUGUAAUAAAGAUUUGGAUUUAACUUUAUCCCACAUUUAGUAUGUGGUAUUAACUAACUAUGAGAUUAUUUUAUCUCAUAACUUUUACUAAAAUGGUGGGAUUACUAUCCCAAAUGAAGGGUGGGAUAAAGUAAUACUAUGAGACAUUCCUAACGACUCCGAUAGAAAAACUUAUUUCAGCAAGUAUUUACGUCAUGCAAACUUUUGAGUUUUCUUUUUAUCAUUGCUUCCACCCAUAUAAUAGUUUGUGUCAUGAUCCAAACUAAAGGAUCGUGCGGACAUCUACACUAUCCUAAGUAGCUAGGAGAACCCUUAUUACCUAACCAAAAGAAGUAAAACACUGCUAGUUUUAAGAGAAUACUAGAUUAAAAAGAAUAAAGUGAAUUAAAUACCAAUAUCUAAACUUUUAUAAAAUUUGUACAACUUUCCUUCACUAACCCAAGACUUGAUCAGACAUAUACAAGAGCUACCUAUUACAGAAUAGGCUGACAAUAAAAUAAAUAACACAAAGACUCCAUCAUCUUCAAGGAAGAAAGUGCAGAAGUUAGUGUAGAAUAUCGUCAUCCAUUGAGUAACUGCAAACUAACCUGAAUCCAGUCUACACCCAAAAAAAAAAUGUAGAAGAGUAGAGUAAGUACAAACAUACGUACUGGUAGGCAUCAUCGACCGAUCAAUGUUAGUUCACGUAAUCAUAAAAUAGAAUCAAAGAAAAGAAAUUAUGACAUCUUAAAUGGAAAAUAAUUAAACUAAGGUUGUAAUAUCAUUAUAAUACUUUGCCUAUAUAAUUUACAAAUUUUCAAUUCUAUUAACGAGAUUAUAUUCACCACUAACAUAGUCUAGCCUCACUAAUUCACACCAUCCACCACAAUCCAACUCUAACCAUCAUUAUAACCCCUUUAUUUGCAUUACUUUUUUCAUUAUCCACAUCUGUAGGAUCAACCCAUAAUCGUAGACAACUCAUACUAACUCUUGGGCUAACAACCAAACACUCUCUUAUAACAUUAAAGAAUAAUAACUAACCAAUCGAAUAAAUUACAAUUACAACAAGUAUAAAUGAAGAAAGUCGACCAACAUAUAGCAAGUAAGUACAGAGUUUAACUUUUCCAAGCACAUGUCACACAAUCAAAUCAUGGAUACAAUGAAAUAGGGACAACAAGUCAACUCAUAUCUCAGUAAAUUACACUAGCAACCUUAUGGAUAAUCUUGCAAAAGAAUUAAUUCAAUUAUUAAAACUUUAGGAUUAUUUCUAUGGGAUUAUUCAUUGGAUCCAUCACUUUUGAUCACUUCAUGUAAUACCCUUAAAAUUUUCAUCAUUUUAAUUUUGACCUUCCCAUGUUUGAAAUAUCAAUUUAUGACUUGAAUUGUGUUUAUGGAUGUUAAAAAGGAUGUUCAGGGUAAGUUUCAAAUUUUUUGAAAAGGGUUGGAAGUCAUUUUAGGACCUCGCGAUAGUGAGGAUCUGCGAUAUCACCGUUUCAUGAAGGCUAUGCUCCGCGAUGUCAGAGGAUAGUCUCUAGGAUAUUGGCAUGCCAUGCUAAGGUGAAAAUUUUGUUCAAUUUUGUUUUUAUUCACUUGGGAUGGGAGACCUUUGGUCUUUUUACCGCUUGUACAACUUUUAAACAUAAAAUAGUCUCAUUCCCAUCAGUUUUUAAAGAUCAAGUUCCUUAUUUCACUCUCAAACACAAAACCCAAGAACAUUCAAGGAUUUUACUAUGCACUCAUCAUCCCGAAUCCAAACAUCAAAUUACUUUCAAAUUCUUGUGUGUUUCAGGCAUGUUUCUCUUCCCCAAACUUGAAAUUUUUCAUUGUGGCAUUGACUUGAUGGAUUUUUUCGUGAUUUAAAAUGUGGGGUUUGAAAUUGGGUUGAGGGUUUUUGGUUACUUUUGAUUGAAUUACUUGUCCUAUGAUUUUAAUUUAUUAUUCGUACUUUAAAUUGGUAUUUUUGGGACUGAAUUGGUACCUUAAUUAAAUGGUUGGAAUAGGGAGCAUGGAUUUUCUCAAAUUGAAUAAAUUUUGACUUAAAAUUGCAUGAACCUCAAACCGCUUUGUUAAAUUGAUUUUAGUUAUGGAAAAUUGCAUGGUUUAACUUGCUUUUGGACUCAUUUCAUUGCAUUAAUAGAUAAAUGCUAAUUUAAUUGGAUUUGGAUGGUCGUGGUGGCCAUGGUUUUUAUUUUAAUGGAACUUAGGAGUCCAAUUUAGUUUUGUAAAAUAGUUUGGCAUGUUUAAUUUAGUUUGCAAGCGUAUUGGUAUGACGAUAUCAAAUGGUUAAUGCCUUAAUAAAAGAAUCCUUGGUUAACGAAUAAAAAUGUGUGUAAAUGGUUUUAAUUUAGGCUUAAAAUGGGUUGUGUAGCUCGCCGUGUAAGUUGGAGGUCCUAGGGCCAAUACUGGAAACCACGUUUGUUGGCGUGGGGGUCGUUAUGACCGACUGCAUAGUUAACAUAAUAUAUGUAUAUUUUUGGAAUGGUUGAAACCUCAUUGGCUUUGUCCCUUCCCCUAAUUUCUUUGGUUCAUGCGGCUAACAUGCAUUGAGGCCCUUUUAGUAGGGGGAGCUAAACCCAUAUAGCCCCUAGGUGCCCUUAGGACGGUUAGAGCUACACAGUCCUGGAUAAUUGUUUUAAAUGUCAUGAUUAAACCUUGUUCCCUAUUCUGUCAUCUUAUAUAUGUAUAUACAAAUGUGUGUAUUAUGGUUUUGACUGAUUUUUGGACAUGGCAUUAUGUUAUCACUUUCCCUAAGUUACAUGUCAGUGCGUAUCCUAUUAACCAUCUUAGGAUACAACAUUGUUUAAUAAUGCAGGGUUCGAAGACAUGUUUCUUACCCCUGUGCAGUAUUACGUGGAUUAGCACGUUGUUGAAUAUCUGUGAAGUGGUGAGCCUCCAUACUUUAGAAGGCCUUAUCAUUUUCAUAUUAUUUUAUAUUUGACUCAGUACUUUUAGAUUUUUUUGGUCAUAGUCAGAGACAUAUCCUAACCUAUUUGGUAAUCUGAUUUUAGAGUCUAUUAUGGACAGAUACGGGUUGGUCGGUUACUGUCUUGACUCUUAUAUUUCAUUGAGUUAUAUUUUCAUCUUUUAUUUCUAUUUUAUUGGCUUCCGUAUUGUUAUUAUUUGAUACUAUUGUGUUCUUGAGAUUGGGUUAAGGGGUGCUCUUUGAUCCAUGGUGGAAUUGAGAUACUCGUUACGGCCAGACCCUGGUUUGGAUCAUAGAAAACUUGGUAUCAGAUCCAGGUUUAGAGUCGUUGGGUGUCUAUAAAAUCGUGUUGAGUAAAGUCCUUUUUAUGGAUAUGUAGCAUGCCAAACUUAUAAAAAGUAGGCUACAAGGCAUUUAAGAAUGUUUCCCUUUCUUGUGUUCUAUUUUUGGGCUAUAGAGUAUAGUAUUAUGAAAGUUCUCUAAUUCCUAGUUUUCUUGCACUUCACAUCAUGCCACUUCAAAGAUUUAAGGUUCAUAAAAACUCAACUAGGAAAUCUGUCCUACCUAAGGAUAAUAUAGAGGGGAAUCGUCUUGCUUAUAAAGUAUAGACUCGGUCUAGGUCCCUGCUUCUGAUUGUGCUACACCUCAUGGAGUUCCACCUAUCCUUACUAGUCCUUCUCAGUCUUCUUGGGGUGGUGAUGCUUAUGAUCAUCCACCUUAGGAGGACAUAUCAGUAGUUGGGUCGAUAUGCGCCAGAGUUAGUGUCUAGCUAGAGAUCUAAGAUAUGGAAGUUUGCUUCUUGGUUAUCUCAUAACUUGAUAUUAGAGUAUAAGGCUGCAAUUUUGAAUAAUGAUAUGUACAUCUAAAGACUUAUGUUUUAUAUACAGCAGGUAGAGAAUGAAAAGAAAAAAUAGGAAGAGAUGGGCAAAAGGUAGAAUAAAAAGUUCAAAUAUUAAAGUAGAGUAUGGGUCAGCAGAAUAGUGGACCAUUAAGAAGAACUAAGAUAAUUCUUAUUUAUUUGCUAGUUCUCCCUAUCCUAAGACUUCAGGUGAUCUUUCUUCUUAGGCUAGUAUUGGUGCUGAGGCACAGAGUACCCAGUCCUAGGCCAGUGGAGCUCAGUUAGCCCCCACCAUAUCCGUUUUGUCAUUUUUAUGGACAACUUUACCAUCGUUAUUAUAAGGAAGGGGACUAGGUGUUAUAAUUAUGGUCAUCUGGGUCAUAUGUAGUGGGAGAUUCCUUAAGCUGGGGUUGUCAAUAGGGCUAAUGAAGUUCCGAUUUCUAUUUCUUCAACUCUUGCACCAAAGUACGCUACGUUUGGUGCCGAUACUAUCUGAAAUUACCUCUAAGCACUUACCACUCGCCAGGAAUCUAAGGCAUCUUAAAAUAUUGUUAUUGGUAAGUUACAACUCUUUUUUUGUGAUGUUUAUUAUUUGCUUGACCCAAUAUCUACCCUUUCUUAUGUGACCCUUUAUGUGGUUGGGCAUUUUGGUUUUGCACUUGAAAGUAUUUUUAACCUCUUUUCUGUGUCUACCCUGGUGGGUGAUUUUAUAGUUGCUAGAAAAAUCUAUAGGGGUUCUAUGGUGUCUAUUUUUCAUAAAAAGGCAUUGAUGGAUUUGAUAGAGUUGAAUAUGGUAUAUUUUGAUAUGAUCUGGGGAUGGAUUAGCUUCACUCAUGCUAUGCUUCUUUAGAUUGUAGGACCCAAAGUGUCAGUUUUCACUUUUUUAGUGAGUCGAUAUUAGAAUGGGAGGGGAGUUCCUUAGUGCCCAUAGGGAGGUUCAUCUCUUAUCAUAGAGCUUAGAAAUUGAUUUCAAAUGGCUGUUUAUAUCAUCUAGUUUGGGUUAAGGAAUCUGACUCUGAAAAGUCCUUCUUUACAUUUUCCCAGUGGUUAAUAAAUUUCUUAAAGUGUUUCUUAAUGGUCUUUCUGAAAUUUCUCCCUAUAGCAAAAUAGAUUUUAUGACUGAUCUUCUACCAGACACUCAUCCUUUUCCAUUCCUCUUUACAGAAUAGUUCCAGCUAAAUUAAAGCAGCUAAUAGAGUAAUUGAAAGAUCUUCUCGAUAAAGGGUUCAUCAAUCCUAGUUUUUAUCCAUGUGGUGCUCUUAUGAUUUUCGUGCAAAAGAAAGAUGGGUCUCUUUGGAUAUGUAUAGACUAUCGUCAGCUGAAUAAGGUGAUAGUGAAGAAUAAGCACCCUCUUCCUAGGAUUGAUAACCUUUUGGAUAAGCUUUAGGGUGCUAGAUGUUUCUCUAAUAUUGAUCAUCAUUAAGAUUAUAACCAGUUGAAAAUUAGGGAGGUUAAUAUUCCCAAGACUAUUUUUCAAACUCGGUGUGGUCACUAUGAGUUUUUUGUUACGUUUUUUUGGAUAUACUAAUGCUCUGGCAGAUUUUAUGUUUCUUACGAAUUGGGUUUUCAAGUAGUUUUUUGACAUAUUCAUUAUUGUCAUCAUUUAUGAUAUUUUCUUGUAUUCUAUAAGUGAAGAGGAUCAUGGCAAUCACCUCCGAAUUGUAUUACAGACCCUUAAGGACCAUAAGUUGUAUGCUAAAUUUUCUAAGUGUGAGUUUUUUUUUAUUGUUGUGACAUUUUUUUGGCAUUUUAUUUUUAGUGGAUUUCGAUGUCGUUCUGGGGAUAGGUUAGUUACACUCGUGCUAUGCGUCAUUAGACUGUUAGACCCAUAAGGUUAUCUUUAGGCUCCAUGGGGAUUCAGUUAUGGGAUAGGAAGAUGAUUCCCUAGCUAUGUGGCAUGAGUAAUUUUUGUAAUUUAGGUCCUUAAUAACCCUUCUUAUGUUAGGGUAGUAGUGGAUUUUAAGGUAUAGUGAUAUUUUGAAUAGUGGGGAGGUAGAAGUCCCUAAGUGGGGGAGAGUCAGGGGUGGCUCUUAGAGCCAAGGUUUUGGAAGGGCAAGGUAAGGUUGUUGUCAUGAGAAAUAUUUAGGAGACAAUUAGGUAGUCAUGGUAUUUGUGGUAAAAUAAAAGAGGUUACUAUAUCCUUGGAAGGAUAGGUAGUAUCGCUAGAUUAGAAGAGGUAAGCUUGAAUGUUGUGGUUGAUAGAUAUACCAAUCGGGGUAUUGGGUGCCUAAGGAGCUUGGUGAGGCAUGAUGUUUGGUUUCAAUGAUGGGAGAGAAUUGUCUUUUGGGUAAAUAUGAGGAAUUGAGCUCUGUGGCCUAAGUUAAGUCCUUUUUACUUGGGAUAGGCUUGAACAUAGAAGUGGUGUAUAUCUAGACCCAAGCUCUCGUAGUGAUGAAUCUCUGUGGAACUGUAAGUUAGAUUGGACUUGCCCUCUAGCGUGAGUUUAAUUCAUUUAAUAACCAUGUGAUUAUGUUGAGGUAAGGUGUGGGUGGUCCUUCGUUGGUUGGUCCCUUUAGGUGAUAUUGGUAUCUCAAACUCUUUGUUCUAUAAGGAGGUCCCUAUGAGGAAUUUGUGUUGGUAUGUUUUUAGGUUGCAAGAAAAAAGCUAUGGCUUCGGUAAAGGUUCUAUGGUGGAACCAAAAGUAUGAAGGAGCCAUUUGGGAUGUGGAAAUGGACAUGGAGUCCAAGUAUCCAUGUUUUUUCUUUAUUUUAGAAACUCGUCCAUAAGGUAUGUGUCCUUCAACAUAACUUGGUUAAAUAAAUGGUGGAUUUACUUGUGUCCUUGUUUUAUAACUUAGUUGAAAGUCAUAAUGGAGGUAUUCGGGUGUAAAUCGUGCUAGGGGUAUUUGGUGAUCUUUUUAUCUUAUGUUAUGUCUUUGUCUUCUAAUUUUGUUUGAGGGAAGUUUGAUGUGUGUUAAUGCUUUAACUCAUGAUUGUGCUUGCCUUUACCUAUCAUUUGAGGAUGAAUGAUCCUAAGUGGGGGAGAAUGAAACACCCUAAACUUGGACCCUUAGAAAAAUUUCCUAAGUUUGAGACUCUGGGCAAGGUAGUCGUACCCUAGGAUACAGGUUGGGGUACCCCAUGUCUUAUGUUGGUCAGUAAGUUUUGUUUGGGUUCUAUCAAAGAUACAAGUAGGCAUCAUAUGAGUCAUAUAAUAGGAUAAAAGUGGUAUGUUAAAAAUCGUAUGAUAACCUAAGGUUAGUCUAGUGGAUUCGAUUCUGCCCAAGGUUUGGUUUACAAUAUGUUUGAUACCUUUGAGUAAGAGUUAGGCAUUUUUUUUGUAUGAUGACCAAUGUGGAGUCCCAUAGUGAGGUCUAGGGUACGACUUAGGGUGCCACUCGUACCCUAGGAGUUGGUUUUCAGAUUUUAAGCUGAAGGCUUUUCAGAUAUUUCCCACCCCAAAACCCUUAUGUCCCCACGCUAUAUAACUCAUUGUAGACUCUCAUAACACUCAUUAGAAGAUCAAAACAUUUCAAAUACUCUCUCAAACUUACUCUUGAAUAUUGGUGGCUAGGGUUUCAACAAGUGUUCUUCCAAGGGAUUAAGAGUCAUGUUUCCUUCCAUGAAUAUUCUUGUAUAAGCCAAGUUACUCCUCUGUCAUUGUUAGUUCCAACUAAAGGCAUUAUUUAAUGUGUUAUAAAUCUUUGUUAUGAAUCAUAAAUAGUGGUUUUGGAAAAUCAAUGUUGAGGGUUUUGAUGCAUAUUGAUGAGUAUUGUUUACCUUUGGUUUAAACUAUGUUUUAACAUAUUUUUGGUGAUGGUUUGCUCAUGUGGGUGCUUGUUAGUUGUGGUUUAACAAAUGGGUCAUGGUUAACCCUAAACUUGAUGGUUUAUGUUUUGGUUUUGGUCUUGGUAAAGGUAUGCCAUCAACAUAUUUGAUAAAAUGCCUUUGAGAAUGUUUUCACAAUAUUGUUGCACUUUCAUUGAAACUAUUGCAUGGUAUGAUUUGGUUAUGGAACCCUAAAUUGGUUUUUAUGGAUUUUAAAUGGUUUUAAUGACUUACAUGGUUUUGAAUAGUGUGAAUGGUUUGGAAUAGUUAAAAUAUUAAUGCCUUGUGUCUACAAAAUUGUAUUGAAUGAAAACCUUGCGGGGUACAUAGGAAUCCCCCAAGUGAAUACCUAAUAAAAAUGGUUUGAAUGAUGAAGUCUUGUGGAGAACAAGGUAAUCCCCCUAGCAAAACAUAAUAAUGAUGUACUUGUAGGUUACAUAAGAAUCUACCAAGUAAACUUAAUAAUGUAACCUAUCGGGUACAUUGGAAUCCCCUAAGGUUGGAUAAAGACAUUGCUUGCAAGCUGUAGUCGGUAUGACAAUACCAGUAAUGAUACACUUUGUUAAUAAUAAAUAGAAUUGAUGGUUUAGUUGUGUGGUAAUGGUUUUAACUGCGUAAUAAUGAUGGGGUGUGAUAACUAACCAUAAUAGUGUGAGUCUAAUGGGCAAACUCUAGAAACUUAUAUUUGCCGACAUGAGGAUUGGUCAUGGUGACCCUAUACUUAAGGGGUAAACAAGAAUCCCCUAACACUUGUAUAUAUGUAUCAUGGAGAGCGAAGGAUACACGAGAAUUCACUACUUCUACGGUAUCUCCAGUUUAUGUGGCUACACACAUCAGGGUCCAUUCAGGGGUUUACACAGGACCCAUAUAACCUGUGGGUGGAUUAUGACUGUUAAGCUACACAUACCCAGGUUAAAGGUUUUAAAGGCAUGCUAAACUUGAUUCGCUUUUUUUGGCAUGAAUUAUGUGUGUAUAUAUAUAUAUAUAUGGAUAUGUAUGCUAUGUUUGUUUACUUGGCCUAAUUGGUUUUAAAGGUUUGCAUUAUUUUAGCAUUAUCCUAAGUGCUUGCUAGCAUUCACCUGCUGACACAUUUUCAGGUAGCUAUAUCCCCAUGCGAUGCAGGAACCAACCACACUACUUCUCCUGCUCAUUGAUCGAAUUCGGGAGCAGUCAGUGUUUGAUUAAAUUUAUGAGCUUCAUAGUUCGGAAGACAUCCAUUUUAUAUCAUGGAUUACCUUACAUAUUAUUGUAUUCUCUUAGACUUUGGUUUUUUGCUAUGAACGGGGGCAUGUCCCAACUAGAUACUCUUUGGUUUGGUUUAGAGACUUUUUAUGGACAACUGUGGAC